CACCUCUGCCAGCACCUGAAAAAGUGGAAGAAGACCUGAGAAGAGCUGGGCGGCUGCCGCCGGGACUCCCUUCCCUGUCCACCCAGCAGAGCGGGGACCCCGGGGGGCUGCCGUCCCCUCCUGACACUGUGGACACGGGGACCAGGCAGCGGCUGGCGGGGCAGGGCAGGACUGACACCGCCUCAGGAGCCCGGCCGCAGCUGAGAGAGAAGGACCCACGGCCACGGUGAAUUUCACAGAAGACCAGAUCCAAGCGCUCAUGGACAAGAAGUCCAAUAUUAGAAAUAUGGCUGUGAUUGCUCAUGUUGAUCAUGGCAAAUCAACACUGACAGACUCCUUGGUUUGUAAAGCAGGCGUCAUUGCUUCAGCCAGAGCUGACAAAACACGAUUCACAGACACACGGAAAGAUGAACAAGAAAGAUGUAUCACCAUCAAGUCUACGCUAUGGUGCUGGGUGCUGGGAAGGAAAUCUACCAGCUCAGUUGCUUAAAAAUGUCUUAGCCGUGAAGACUGAGGAGCGUGAGUGCAAGUAAAGACAAAACAGGAAAAAGGAGAAGUAUUUCACCUUUAUGACUCAUGAGAUCUGCCAUGACAAAGCAGGGGACUUUUUGCAACCUUAGUGUGCCCAGAAGAAAUGGUUGGUGGGAUAUGUCGUCUGCUGAACAGGAAAAGGGGACAUGUUUCUGAAGAAUCCCAAGUGACGGGAACUCCAGUGUUUGUAGUCAAGGCGUACCUCCCUGUAAAUGAGUCAUUUGUUAAGAUAACCCUCUUUUUUUUGUUUUGUUUUGUUACCCACACACAUUUGAAAGAAAGACCACUGCAGGAUGAAAGGGACUUAGGAAUUCCAAUUUUAUUAGCUCUAGGUUUCUUCCUGUUCUCUCUUCACAUCUUCAUUUCAUUGGUUAAGAAGAAAUAAUUGACUUUUCUUUUUUUUUUCUUUUUUUCUGGCAACCUACUCAAUUGGGCUUUCACGCCAGCAGAGGGUGCCAGAAGGACGUGUGGCAUCUUCUGCAAAUUAAGACUUAACAGUGUUUGUCUGGUUCUGUUCCCAAGUUGGAUGAAAGAGUUCAUCUUCAGUGGCAGCUGACAAGAAAAUUUGGUAUUGGUAUAUUUAAAAGGAAGAUGGGGUGUGAGCCUGAAAAGGUAGCACUACCUUACUCAGGUUCUCAAAGAGUUUUUAGGGUUUUAUCUAUGCAGAAAUUCACAAUAAACCAUGAUUUUCUGUUGCUUAAUCAUCCUUUUCUUUUUCCCCUUUGCAUUAGGUUUUACUGCUGACUUGAAGUCCAACACCAGCAGCCAGGCUUUUCCACAGUGUGCCUUUGAUCACUGGCAGAUUUUGCCUGGAGAUCCUAACGAUGUAAAUUCUCAUCCUCUGCAAGUUGUGGCUGAAAUGCGUAAAUGCAAAGGCUUGAAGGAUGGCAUUCCAUCUCUAGCUAACUUCCUAGAUAAGUUGUAAUAUAUCUGUUAAUUUGUUUCGUGUUGUGUGACACACUGCCCAGUUUUGUCCUGAGACCAUUUCCUCAUAAAACCAAGGAAGAAAACGGAAAGUUUUUAGAAUAUCACGUUGAAUACACACAGUCUUAACAUAUUGUGAUUGUGGCAUAAUCACCUACUAAAAAAAAUAAAAAUAACAUGUUAAUUUGGUUUAUGGAAUUGUUGUUGUCUGUAUCUGGUCUGUGAUCAUUGCUGCCUGUAGCAAAAAUACACAAAAAGCAGUUGUUCUUUCUAAUGUUGUACUUCCCAGUUUUCCUAAUCCACAAUUGUUUUCUAACCUAGGAAGGAGCUCCCUUCAUUGUUGCUCUUGCAGAAAUUCUUGUUGAAUGGUCAGUUUUUGUCCUCUCAGACAGAAGAUGCGUUCACUCAUUUCCAAACUUGAAUCCUCUGUGUUGUUGAAGACUGAUAGUGAAAGGCUUGCAGUCACAGCUCUCCUGGGCCCUACAGUUUAAGAGCAAGAACUUUAUGGAAGCCACAGACCGUGACUGCAGCCAAGUUGCACAGACUGGGACAGAGGGGAGAAGGCACCACAGUGAAGAAGCUGCUGUCCCUGCCAGUCAUAGUGCUGAAGUUGGACAACGACAAAGUGGAGUUGACAGGGGACUCGGGGAGCUGUCUGUUGUGCCAACCAAGAUGCAGAAGUGACUGAAAACCAGAGCCAAGCACCAUUCCAAGACAUCCCGGAUUUUAACAGGGAGACAGGAGAAAAGCUUAUUGCUUUGAAAACAACGAAGUGCCUCCCUGCCAGGACUGACAGAAUGGAUGAAACGUACAACAUAGCCUUCUUCCUGGGCACCAGAGCAGAUAAGGAGGGGGUAAGGCAGUGAGAACAGCCUGUAAGAUGAUGCUAACUUUGCAAGAACGCAUGAUGCUCCUGCACUUGGGAUAAUCUGAAGAGAAUCCUGUCCAAUAGCUUCAUCAGUUUCUUUUACUAUGGAAAAACAUCCCUGCAAACACAGCAACAGCGCAAGUUUUUUGUGAGACAUAAAACUAUUUAAUAGAGUUUUGCCUGUACAGAGGUACUGUAGCAAUACAACCUUCUGCAAAGAGAGGCCUAGAAAUUCUCCUCUGGAAGGAAAGAGCUGCAUACCAAAGAGACUACAAGUGCAUAUCAGUUUAUC